AUGCCACCUUCCGUGCACGACACGGAAGGCCUGUCGUUCAUGAAGCAUGGUUGUGUCUUCAUUGCGCACCGCCGGAUGAACGACAUGCUGGGACAUGCUAUCCCUGAUUUAUGCUGCUUCAGCUUGGAUGAGUCUCCAUCAUGGCGGUAUAUCCUGGUAGUCGUACUAGUAGAAUUGAGAUUUAAUGCACUUUCUUCCCCGUCUUCCACUCUUCUUCCUCCUCUCUUCUUCUUCCUCCUCUCUUCCCCAUCAUCAGCCACACACCAUUUCCCCCCGCUCACUGCUCGCCUGCCCACGCCAUCUUCCUUGUACCAUAUAACUGGAAUUAACCGAUGCAAGUCAAAGAAGGAUUGGCCGGUGCUGCCGGCUGGCGUCAAGUUCGAUCCCACGGAUCAGGAGCUGAUCGAGCACCUUGAGGCCAAAGUGAGUGCUGACAGCGCGAUACCUCACCAUCUCAUCAAUUUGUUCAUACCAACCAUCGACAGCGAGCACGGCAUAUGCUACACCCAUCCUGACAAACUUCCAGUGCAAUUCCAGGGCGUUCAAAAGGGGCACGUGGACGCCUCGCAAGAUACAGUCGGAGGCAUGCACGCGAUGUGGCACAAGACCGACAAUACCUUGCCGGUGAUGGUCAACGGCCGGCAGACGGGCAGCAAAAAGGUUCUGGUGCUUUACACCAACAAGAACUUCGACCAGCAGAGGACCAACUGGGUGAUGCACCAAUAA
rnacentral:rRNA from 1 species